UACAGAGGGUGCAAGCGUUAAUCGGGAUGACUGGGCGUAAAGGGCGCGUAGGCGGUUUGAUAAGUUAGAUGUGAAAUCCCUGGGCUUAACCUAGGAAUGGCAUUUAAUACUAUGAAGCUAGAGUAAGGUAGAGGGAAGUGGAAUUUCCGGUGUAGCGGUGAAAUGCGUAGAUAUCGGAAGGAACACCGGUGGCGAAGGCGGCUUCCUGGACCUAUACUGACGCUGAGGCGCGAAAGCGUGGGUAGCAAAC
rnacentral:rRNA from 1 species